AUACGGAAGGUCCGUGCGUUAUCCGGAUUUAUUGGGUUUAAAGGGAGCGCAGGCGGAGAUGCAAGCGUGACGUCAAAUUUCGGGGCUCAACCCCGUCUCGCGUCGCGAACUGCGUCCCUUGGUUGCGGGAAGGGGAGGCGGAACUCGUGGUGUAGCGGUGAAAUGCAUAGAUAUCACGAAGAACUCCGAUCGCGAGGGCAGCCUUCCGGCCCGUCAACGACGCUCAUGCUCGAAGGUGCGGGUAUCAAACAGGAUUAGAUACCCUGGUAGCCCGCACAUAAAGCGAUGGACUCCCGCGGUUUGGCCUGUAUGGCUGAGCCGCCAAGCGAAAGCGUUAAGUGUCCCACCUGGGGAGUACGCCGGCACCGGUGAAACUCAAAUGAAUUGACGGG
rnacentral:rRNA from 1 species